GUUCGGGAAGACGUUCACGGGACCACAUGUUCUGCGUGGAGUGGACCGCGGGUGGCGGCUGGCAGACUCCUCGCAUCCAGGCCGUUCCAGAACCUGUCGCUGCACCCUGCCUCGUCCUCCCUCCACUACUCCAUAGAGCUGUUUGAGGGCAUGAAGGCGUUUCGUGGCGUGGACAACAAGGUGCGGAUGUUCCGGCCGAUGCUCAACAUGGAGCGGAUGCACCGCACGGCGCUGAGAGCCAGCUUGCCCAGCUUUGACACGGCCGAGUUGUGCGAAUGCAUUCGUAAGCUGGUGGAGGUGGACAAGGACUGGGUUCCCCACUCGACCAAGGCCAGCCUCUACCUCCGCCCGACCUUCAUUAGCACAGAG